CUUGAUAAAAUUCAAAUGAAGGUCAAACUAUCCAUAUGCCUAAGAUUUAUAAUAUUCCUAGCUUAACAGGACAUAGAAUUCUAUUCAUGGAUAAACUACUCAUCAGAGGAAAGUCCAGAAGGGAAGUGACCAAACAAUCUAAAAAUUAUUUUAAAGUAGCUGGGAGCAUUAGACAAAAAAAUGCUUAAAUAAACCCACAGAGACAUAUGAUGUAUCCAGAAAAUGUUACAUAAAAAUAGAAAUCUGAGUGUUGCUACUGGCUAAGCAGUUAGACUUGGCUUUCCUCUGAAGCACAUAGGUCAACUGGCUAAAAGAAAUGCCAAUAAUCCAGCAUGUGGGGCAAGAUAAAGGAUUCCAUUUUAUUCUAGUUUUCUUAGGUCAAGAAUUAUACCAUUGCAUUCACAAUCACUUUGUUCCAUUACUUUAUUGUUUUAUUACUUUACAUUACUCCUACUUUUGUCCUACACCAUUUUCCACAAGUUCCAAAAAAUAUCAUUAUAGUGCUUAUGAACUGUAUAACUAGGACUAAAAACGAAAUAAUGUUGGGGGAGGAGAGGGGGCAGAGAGAGAUUACCACUAAUUUGAUUAAGCCCAAGGUCUGAAAUCUGGUCACAAUAAUUAA
rnacentral:misc_RNA from 1 species